rnacentral:rRNA from 1 species
UUGACCUCGGAUCAGGUAGGGAUACCCGCUGAACUUAAGCAUAUCAAUAAGCGGAGGAAAAGAAACCAACAGGGAUUGCCUCAGUAACGGCGAGUGAAGCGGCAACAGCUCAAAUUUGAAAUCUGGCUCUUUUAGGGUCCGAGUUGUAAUUUGUAGAAGAUGCUUCGGGUGUGGCUCCGGUCUAAGUUCCUUGGAACAGGACGUCAUAGAGGGUGAGAAUCCCGUACGUGACUGGUUGCCUUCGCCCAUGUGAAGCUCUUUCGACGAGUCGAGUUGUUUGGGAAUGCAGCUCAAAAUGGGUGGUAGAUUUCAUCUAAAGCUAAAUAUUGGCCAGAGACCGAUAGCGCACAAGUAGAGUGAUCGAAAGAUGAAAAGCACUUUGGAAAGAGAGUUAAACAGUACGUGAAAUUGUUGAAAGGGAAGCGCUUGCAACCAGACUUGCGCGCUGCCGAUCAUCCGGGGUUCUCUCCGGUGCACUCGGUUGCGUUCAGGCCAGCAUCGGUUUGGGUGGUUGGAUAAAGGCCUUGGGAAUGUAGCUUCUUUCGGGGAGUGUUAUAGCCCUCGGUGCAAUGCAGCCUACCUGGACCGAGGACCGCGCU